AGAGAGCUGUCACAUCCUGAGAAAUACUCAAAUUGUGCUGAUUUUUUUCUGGAGUGCUGAGCAGAGAGAAUGAAACUCUCCAUCAAGUCAUAGCUGUGUGGGCAAUAGAUCAGAGGAUACUGCCAGUUUUCCUGAUGGAUUAUUGUUAUCGGGCAGGUUCUUCCUGAAGUUUUUCUUUAGUGAAGCCAUUGUAGCAUGUGUUUCCUUGUGCAGCCUUGAUGCAGCAAUCCAGCCUUUCUGACAACAGCUAGAUUCAUCGAGAUUACAAGAAUCUCCUGUUCCUCCUGAUAGAAACAACUCCCUUGAUGAUGUGAA